rnacentral:rRNA from 1 species
GAUGAACGCUGGCGGCGUGCCUAAUACAUGCAAGUCGAGCGAACGGACGAGAAGCUUGCUUCUCUGAUGUUAGCGGCGGACGGGUGAGUAACACGUGGAUAACCUACCUAUAAGACUGGGAUAACUUCGGGAAACCGGAGCUAAUACCGGAUAAUAUUUUGAACCGCAUGGUUCAAAAGUGAAAGACGGUCUUGCUGUCACUUAUCGAUGGAUCCGCGCUGCAUUAGCUAGUUGGUAAGGUAACGGCUUACCAAGGCAACGAUGCAUAGCCGACCUGAGAGGGUGAUCGGCCACACUGGAACUGAGACACGGUCCAGACUCCUACGGGAGGCAGCAGUAGGGAAUCGUCCGCAAUGGGCGAAAGCCUGACGGAGCAACGCCGCGUGAGUGAUGAAGGUCUUCGGAUCGUAAAACUCUGUUAUUAGGGAAGAACAUAUGUGUAAGUAACUGUGCACAUCUUGACGGUACCUAAUCAGAAAGCCACGGCUAACUACGUG